CCUACGGGGCGCAGCAGUGGGGAAUAUUGGACAAUGGGGGGAACCCUGAUCCAGCGACGCCGCGUGAGUGAAGAAGUAUUUCGGUAUGUAAAGCUCUAUCAGCAGGGAAGAAAGAAAUGACGGUACCUGACUAAGAAGCCCCGGCUAACUACGUGCCAGCAGCCGCGGUAAUACGUAGGGGGCAAGCGUUAUCCGGAUUUACUGGGUGUAAAGGGAGCGUAGACGGCAGUGCAAGUCUGAAGUGAAAGGCAAGGGCUCAACCCUUGGACUGCUUUGGAAACUGUGCUGCUCGAGUGUCGGAGAGG
rnacentral:rRNA from 1 species